CAGUUUUUAGUUUUUCUCGAAAAUUGUGAAAUAUGCAUUAAGUCUUUUUUUUCGGUGCACGCUCAUGAAUAUUCAACGGACCCAAACACUUGAUGAAACUCGUAAAUUUUCCGACACUGCCUUUUAAAUAUGCAUGAAAAUUAAAUUCGCCUUUGGCUGCACACAAGCUGAUAUUUAAAUUUGUAUACAUAUAUUUUAUUGCCUUGCCGUCACUUUCAUGUGUCCGGAACAAGUUGAUUUGUAUUUUAUUUUUGUUUUUUAUCAACUUAAUUGCGGGGGCGGCAUAGGCGGCAUGGGCGGCGGCCCUGUUGAUAGGAAAUGUGUCAAAAUUUGUUGGAAGUUCUGUAAUUUGUAAAUAUCAAACUCAACGCACACGCACAUUCAUCUAAAGACUACACAGCAUCCUUUUGCUGCCUGCCAUCCGUUGACAGUUAAUUUCAAGGCAGUGAGACAAUGAUUCGAUUUUGGCAGUGUCAUUGUCCUCCUUAGCAAGGUGAUUUGUGGACACGCCCAUUCAUUGGUAAACUGCCAAGCCAACUUCCUCUUCAUUUGUCAUGACCCGAAGACAAGGUAGACAUCGAAUGGGCUAACACAGAAAGCACAAAGUGAUUGAGAAUAGGAAAAAAUGCCGGAGCCAUAAAAUAGUCGAUUGAUUGGCAUCAAUGAUGAUAUUUUAACCAAAUCACAGACGCAUUUACAGCAGAUACCUAAUUCAGAUGGGCUGACUGACAACUUUACUGGCUGAGAGACCGCAAAACUCAACGUGUCAUCGUUAAACCGGCCAACAAAGUCAUAAAGUCUCAUCUGCAAUUGACUGAAGCUGUCUGUGGCCAAUGGUCAUCUUAUAAAACUAGGAGCAUAAAUCGAUUUAUGUAUAUCAGCCUGAUAGUAGCUGAAAUGAGUUACCAUUGAAUACACUCAAACUCCUUGCAAAAAAUUAACUCAUUAUGAGACACAUUAUAAAAUCAACAAUAGUACCCAUAAACUAUUCUAAAUAUAUGCAAAGGGAAAAGCUUGCGCCUACUGACUUACAAGGGCUAGAAAUCAUAACACGUAAGUGAGCAAUAGGAAGAAGUAUUGGAAAAGUCGACCUGGAACUGGGAUAGCAGGUGGGCAAAAUAUAAAAAAAUAAGCUUGAGGACGCGACAUCAUAAAUUUGCGUGGAAAAAACAAGAAGCAGGUCGCCGGUUCAAAUUAGCUCUCUCAUUGUGGUGUUUCCAAUUAUUCAACUUAACAAGCUGCUCAAAUUGUUAUUUAAAUUCAGAUAAUUAUACAUACAGCUAAUUAAAUACAUGUAUACACGAACUUGUAUG